AAAAAGAACCCAGAGAUCUGGCAACCUUGUGUUCAUAUGCCAGCAUAGCUGGGGAUGAGUUGUGGUUGCCAGAAACCCUUGGGCAAUCCUGCAGAAGAAGCCAAGAGGGCACAGGGCCACCUUCCAUGUGACAGUGCUGAUCUAAUCCAUGAGCAAACAGCGUGGACCAAAACAGUCCCCAGGAGAGGCUGGUGCAGGAAGGCUCAGACACUGUGUUCUCUGACAUAAUUUAUGGCUGCUGUAACAAUGACCACAAACUGGGUGGCUUGCAUCAUCGGAAAUGUAUUUGCUCACAGCUUGGGAGGCCAGAAGUUCAAAAGAAGGGUUGGGCAGGGCCAUGUUCUUUCUGAAGGCCGUAGGGGAGAAUUGGUCCUGUGCCUUCCUCUUAGUUUUGGUGUUGCAGGCUGGUCUCGAACUCCUGGCCUCAAGCGAUCCUCCCAUCUCAGCCUCCCAAAGUGCUGGGAUUACAGAUGUGAACCAUUGCAUCUGGACUUUAUUAUCCCCACUUUAUAGAUGAGGAAAACAAAGGCAUGCAGAAGUAAAAGGAUUCCUUACAGUCCAUACAGCAAGCAAGGGGUGGAGUCAGAAAGAAAACCCAGAUCAUUUGAUGGCAUUCAUCCAUAGGAAAAACCAUGGAUGCCUUAAUGCUCAUGGUGGAAUAAAAAGAAUUCAAACGUUUCCAUUGUUUCUCUGAGUCUUCAUUUUGGAUUGACCUGAACAGA